GCAGGAAACGUAAUUAACAACAAAAACAACAACAAACGAAGCGCACCGAAGCACCGUGGCGGCCAUCAACGGCGCCAACGUGCAUGAAAACAACGUUCUGCCUGAGUGGAAUACGGACUGCAGCCCAUCACACCAGUUUAACAUGAAGAUGAGAAGGACGAGGUGAAGCUGAGCUCUGGCCUGAAGAGGUAUUACGUCAAUGUUUGUUAGCAGAGAGAAUGACAUUCUUCUUUAUAUUGUGGCAACCCACGAAGCAGCACCCUGGACAGCGCCUCAAGAGAUCAGCACCAAGGUCUGGGGCACCGACGAGCCAGAGGUCAGUGGCGGAGUAACAGGGACUCCUCGAGGCAACUAGCAGACCGGUUUACAACCUGAUGACAGCGGGGACGGCCAAUCACACGCGCAACAGCAGAGCCA